rnacentral:lncRNA from 10 species
AGUCCAGUCUAGCUGGCUCUGACCUCAGUGGCCAGCUGAGGAAAAUCAAACUUCUAUACAUCCUUCAAGACCCAGCUGAGUUAAGGCCUAUGGUGACCUUUGGUGACAUCUCCAGUAGAAUUAAACCCCAUCAUUCCUUCUGCUCUCAGCACUUGCGCAUACUUCAGUGGUGGUGCCUACACACCCUCUUCUGUGAACUCUUAACGGCUCACACAUCCUCCCGUCACCAUGCCUGUCACAUCCCUGCAGGAGUAGGAGGAGCCAUGAGGGUAGUUGGUAACUGCUGAGCACUCACUGCAUGUCAGGCACUGUGCUGUGUGUGUGAUGCGUGUCACCCCACUGGCCCUCACCACUUCCUAUGGGGUGUCACCACUUUACAGAUGAGGGGACAGACAGGUGUACAGACCCAUCGCUACCUGACUCUGGAGGCUGCAUUCUCAACCUCCCUCAUUUUGCUUGUGAACCCCAGAGAAAAGGGAUCGGCUUAUACCCUCCUUUGGGUACCCAGUAGCUGGCAGGAUGCCUGUCACCAAGUGGUCACUUAAAUGUCGGGUGAAAUAAAGGAACAUUCCAC